GAUGAACGCUGGCGGCGUGCCUAAUACAUGCAAGUCGAGCGAACGGACGAGAAGCUUGCUUCUCUGAUGUUAGCGGCGGACGGGUGAGUAACACGUGGAUAACCUACCUAUAAGACUGGGAUAACUUCGGGAAACCGGAGCUAAUACCGGAUGAUAUUUUGAACCGCAUGGUUCAAAAGUGAAAGACGGUCUUGCUGUCACUUAUAGAUGGAUCCGCGCUGCAUUAGCUAGUUGGUAAGGUAACGGCUUACCAAGGCAACGAUGCAUAGCCGACCUGAGAGGGUGAUCGGCCACACUGGAACUGAGACACGGUCCAGACUCCUACGGGAGGCAGCAGUAGGGAAUCUUCCGCAAUGGGCGAAAGCCUGACGGAGCAACGCCGCGUGAGUGAUGAAGGUCUUCGGAUCGUAAAACUCUGUUAUUAGGGAAGAACAUAUGUGUAAGUAACUGUGCACAUCUUGACGGUACCUAAUCAGAAAGCCACGGAUAACUACGUG
rnacentral:rRNA from 1 species